CCCUGAUAUUAUAUGCAGCUCGAGCGGACUAAUGGGAGCUUGCUCCCGUUAGUUAGCGGCGGACGGGUGAGUAACACGUGGGCAACCUACCUGUAAGACUGGGAUAACUUCGGGAAACCGGAGCUAAUACCGGAUGACAUAAAGGAACUCCUGUUCCUUUAUUGAAAGAUGGCUUCGGCUAUCACUUACAGAUGGGCCCGCGGCGCAUUAGCUAGUUGGUGAGGUAACGGCUCACCAAGGCGACGAUGCGUAGCCGACCUGAGAGGGUGAUCGGCCACACUGGGACUGAGACACGGCCCAGACUCCUACGGGAGGCAGCAGUAGGGAAUCUUCCGCAAUGGACGAAAGUCUGACGGAGCAACGCCGCGUGAGCGAUGAAGGCCUUCGGGUCGUAAAGCUCUGUUGUUAGGGAAGAAUAAGUGCUAGUUGAAUAAGCUGGCACCUUGACGGUACCUAACCAGAAAGCCACGGCUAACUACGUGCCAGCAGCCGCGGUAAUACGUAGGUGGCAAGCGUUGUCCGGAAUUAUUGGGCGUAAAGCGCGCGCAGGCGGUUUCUUAAGUCUGAUGUGAAAGCCCCCGGCUCAACCGGGGAGGGUCAUUGGAAACUGGGAAACUUGAGUGCAGAAGAGGAAAGUGGAAUUCCAAGUGUAGCGGUGAAAUGCGUAGAGAUUUGGAGGAACACCAGUGGCGAAGGCGACUUUCUGGUCUGUAACUGACGCUGAGGCGCGAAAGCGUGGGGAGCAAACAGGAUUAGAUACCCUGGUAGUCCACGCUGUAAACGAUGAGUGCUAAGUGUUAGAGGGUUUCCGCCCUUUAGUGCUGAAGUUAACGCAUUAAGCACUCCGCCUGGGGAGUACGGUCGCAAGACUGAAACUCAAAGGAAUUGACGGGGGCCCGCACAAGUGGUGGAGCAUGUGGUUUAAUUCGAAGCAACGCGAAGAACCUUACCAGGUCUUGACAUCCUCUGACAACCCUAGAGAUAGGGCUUUCCCUUUCGGGACAGAGUGACAGUGUGCAUGAUUGUCGUCAGCUCGUGUCGUGAGAUGUUGGGUUAAGUCCGCACGAGCGCAACCUUGAUCUAGUGCAGCAUUCAGUGGCACUCUAAGGUGACUGCGUGACAAACGCGAGUACAUGACGUCAUCAUCAUGGCCUUAUGACCUGGGCUAACACAACGUGC
rnacentral:rRNA from 2 species